AUACACACACAAAUGAGUUACAGUCUUAGGUUUUAAAAGGUAAUAGAUGCUGAUAUAAUAAGCAAGGUCUAUAUGUCCUUUAGAGCUAAUCGAAGCUAAGCAGCUUGGGGAUCCCUUGCUUAUGCUUAGAGAUAUUUCCCUGUCCAAAUUCUAAGCAGCAUAAUGAUAACAAUUCCUCUUUGGCAGGGAUUUUUAGCCCUUCCCCCAGUGUUCCGGUGUGAUGUGAUAGGGCUUGUGCACAUACCCUCUUCAUGGGUGCGGGGGAAGCAAUCAACAAAGUCUUUUGUUCACUGAUGUUCCACAAUGGUUUGUCCGGUGUCUAUUGGCCUUCUUUUGUUGGGGAAGAGAUGACACCUCCUGCAGUAAACUAGUAUUUCAUACUUGGUAAUGUUUCUCUCCUGACUGGGGUUUUUUACAGUUUUAACAAACACUUUUAUAGUUAAAGAACAAACACUUAAAUAUUACCUUAUAACAUGGUAUACAGGUAUUAUAAGUAAGCCAAUGUUUUAGUCACAGGUAUUUUUAGUAAAAAUAAUUGUCAGGUCACGGGCAGUAAACAAAAAUUCAUGGCCAGUGACCUGUCCAUGACUUGUACUAUAACCCUGACUAAAUCCUUGGAGUGCUGCAGGUGCUCCUGGAGAACUGUGGGUGCUCGGGGGGGGCAGAAGACCAGGGGGGCAAUGUGGGUGCUUGGGUGGGAGUAGCCUGGGACCCCCGCUCGUGCUGGAGGAGGGGGGAAUUGGUGGGGUUGGCGGGCUCGCUACCUGGCUUUUUGGCAGUGGUGACAUGUCCCUCCCUAAGCUCCUAGCUCUGCACGCUGCCAGCUCCGCAGCCCCCAUUGGCUGGGAGCCAACCGCACCAGCCGCUGCAGAAGUCAAGGAAGUCACAGCAAGUCACGGAAUCCGUGACAAACUCGCAACCUUAAUUAUAAGUACAAUUAAUGCAUGCCGCAUCCUACAAGCAUUUCAUAAAGUCUAAACACUAAUUACAUUCUUAGAACUCUAAUAUCUAUUUUAACAAUACUAACCACACAAGCAACCUAGACUGGUUUCUGGCUAUGCAUUUGCCAGUGUUCAGUGAGGCCAAGGGGCCUUGGCAUGAGCUGGCACCUGCUCUGCCAGCGUCACACACCUCUCCACUAUUUCCACUUUUGUGGAACCUCUAUGGAGAGGGCCAGAGAAAAAAGGAGCCCAUACUGCACAGGUAGCACUCCACUCUUGUCUUCCCAGUCUAAUUUAGGAUUUUCUAGAGUACCCAUUACCAGCUAGUGUGUAUAUAUAUUAUAGCUUUCCCCAUACUGGGUUUGAAUCAGAAACUUCAGAUGAAACCCAUAAUGGGGAACCAUCUGAGCCAACGCUAAUGAAAAAAAAUAAUGGUAAUAAUUCAUGUAGAUUUAAAGUUCAGGCUAAUUGUGAAGUUUGGAUCUGAUGGUCUGAUCCAGGGUUCUGGUUUGGCUAAUAAUUGAGAUAAGGCAAGGUGUAAGGUUCACAUCCUCAACUUGUGUAAAUCGUUGUAACUGAACUGAAGUCAAUAGAGUUAUGACAUUUUACACCAGGUGAGGUUCUGGCUGGUGGGUUUUAAAAUGGCCAUACCUAGUCCACACUGACUGAGCAAACAGUGUCUAAACUAUGUGUGGAAACACUUUAAACCCCAUAAAUACUUAAAAUCAGGCUGACAUGGUUUUAUCUGCGGUGUAGAAAGAUCCAAAAUCUUCAACUGUUGUUAUUAAGUAAAGAGAACCCACCAGACUGUCAUACCCGAGAGUACAUACCAUACAGGAUAUAGUUAUAGCAUUGCCAUUUAUUUUAUAUAGUCUGUUGACUCUGGGUGACUCAUAUUUUAUGACCUUACAGAGGUGAUAACAAUCUGUGUCUCAAAAGGCUAAACCAAUUAAGAAAAGCCCUGCUGUCUGAUAACCUGAGAUGUUGGUGUCCUGUCUUCUCCACACAUUUGACCACUGUUGAAUUUAUAUGAAGAUAAAACUUGGCAAAGGGAGAUAUGAAGCAGCCAUGUGGAGUGCAGAAGUACUUAAGGUGUUGUUGUUGUUUUGUAUUUGGUUAAGAAAGCCUCUGGAAUCCCUAAAAAUGGCUUGAAUUGCAUUACAAACAACAGGAAGUAUCACUCCUUGAAGAAUGACAGAAGUAGCACCACCAGGAAGUUUUUCUUGGAGAACCAAAAGGUCACAAGUUGAGAACCACUAUUCUACAUCAUUGCAGUUCUGUGGUGCCUAGCAACAUGCAAUCAAAACAGAAUUAGGAAUAAAACUCCUUGUAGGGUGAAACACGCCUUAUCAAAAUCUACCACGCCUGCUUCUAGAUUUGGCUUUGCUGUUAGAAUUUCAAUCUGUGAUAGUAGCGAGGUGUGCCAGUAAUCUUUUAUAGACUGCUUCAUCUGAAAUUUUCACAAAUGGAACAUGAUACAACAGUCCAUAAAAGAAACAACUGAAUAAGAGAUUUAUCGGACAGCAUGAAGGCCUAGGAGGCAAUAGUGCCAGCUAGACUGUGAGAAAAAGAGAGACCAAGAGUGUGGUUGUGAUGUUCAGAUGCCAUGGCGAUAAGUGCAAUAAUUAAACUCUAGCUAGACCAGCUAAAUAGGUAGAUGGAUUGCAUUAGAACAAGAUAUUGGGAAUUUGUAACUCCUGAGUUCUAAUCCUGGCUCUGCCACUGAUUUGCUAUGUGACUUGGGCAAGUCCUUUCAACUUUCUCUGGGACCGAUCCUCAGCCAAUGUAAAAUAGUGUAUCUCCAUUGAAAUCAGCUAUGCUAAACAAUUCAAGUAGCUAAGUCUCCUUGUGUGUAAAAUGGGCCUAAUGAUGCUCACUCAUAAGAAUUAGUUAAUGUUUGUAAAGUACUUUAAAGAUGGGGUUAGAACUCAGGACCUUUAAUCUUAGUAAAGUUAUAACACAGCCUUGAGCUGAAAGUAAAGGUGCAUUAGCUAGGAGCAAUAGCAGACUCUGAUCGUCUAUCGACUAGCCACUGUGGGGGGGGGUGGAGAGAGGGGAAGAACGGGACACCACACACAUAGCCGCACUCCUCUUACCAGGCGAAGCUUCUGCUAAGUGUCUGAGGUCCGUUGCUUUGAAACCUUCCUCAGCACAGAUUGAUGGAGGAGACCGAACUUGAGACUUUCAGCACCAAAGGCACAAGCCACUUGAGCUAAAAAAGUCACUUAAUUAACUGUCAGCAUUAACAGGCUCUUGUUCACUGCUUUUAGCCAGACAUUGCAGUGGGGCAUCAAAC